UGGAGAGUUUGAUCCUGGCUCAGAUUGAACGCUGGCGGCAUGCCUUACACAUGCAAGUCGAACGGUAACAGGUCUUCGGAUGCUGACGAGUGGCGAACGGGUGAGUAAUACAUCGGAACGUGCCCGAUCGUGGGGGAUAACGGAGCGAAAGCUUUGCUAAUACCGCAUACGAUCUACGGAUGAAAGCAGGGGACCGCAAGGCCUUGCGCGGACGGAGCGGCCGAUGGCAGAUUAGGUAGUUGGUGGGAUAAAAGCUUACCAAGCCGACGAUCUGUAGCUGGUCUGAGAGGACGACCAGCCACACUGGGACUGAGACACGGCCCAGACUCCUACGGGAGGCAGCAGUGGGGAAUUUUGGACAAUGGGCGAAAGCCUGAUCCAGCCAUGCCGCGUGCAGGAUGAAGGCCUUCGGGUUGUAAACUGCUUUUGUACGGAACGAAAAGACUCCUUCUAAUAAAGGGGGUCCAUGACGGUACCGUAAGAAUAAGCACCGGCUAACUACGUGCCAGCAGCCGCGGUA
rnacentral:rRNA from 1 species